GUUGUAUUUGGCAAUACACACCUGUUUACUGAAAUCCAUUGCUGCCUUUUCUGACUCAAACAUAAUUGACCAGUUUUGUCUUUGAUCAUCAUAGAAUGUGCUGUAAUUGUUGGACUGGACCGUGAGUACAAAGCCUGGGUGGAUCCUUGCAGAUGUGAUCUGUUGCUGCUGACUGAUGUAAAGGAGAAUCCUGUACUCUUUAGUAGCAUGGCUCCC
rnacentral:lncRNA from 1 species